AGCAGCCGCGGUAAUUCCAGCUCCAAUAGCGUAUAUUAAAGUUGUUGCAGUUAAAAAGCUCGUAGUUAAAUUUCGGGAUCAGUUGGUCGGUCGUGCCUCGGUACGUACUGGUCAAAUUGAUUCCUACCUUCUGACGAACCACGAUGUCAUUAAUUUGGUGUCGCGGGAAAUCAGGACUGUUACUUUGAAAAAAUUAGAGUGUUUAAAGCAGGCUCGCGCUUGAAUACAUUAGCAUGGAAUAAUGAAAUAGGACGUUUGAUUCUAUUUUGUUGGUUUCUAGGAUCGACGUAAUGAUUAAUAGGGAUAGUCGGGGGCAUUAGUAUUCAAUUGUCAGAGGUGAAAUUCUUGGAUUUAUUGAAGACUAACUACUGCGAAAGCAUUUGCCAAGGAUGUUUUCAUUAAUCAAGAACGAAAGUUAGGGGAUCGAAGACGAUCAGAUACCGUCGUAGUCUUAACCAUAAACUAUGCCGACUAGGGAUCGGAUGAUGUUAAUUUUUUAAUGACUCAUUCGGCGCCUUAC
rnacentral:misc_RNA from 1 species